rnacentral:rRNA from 1 species
UACGUAGGGGGCAAGCGUUGUCCGGAAUUAUUGGGCGUAAAGAGCUCGUAGGCGGUGUGUCGCGUCUGCUGUGAAAACUCAGGGCUCAACUCUGAGCUUGCAGUGGGUACGGGCACACUUGAGUGCUGUAGGGGAGACUGGAAUUCCUGGUGUAGCGGUGAAAUGCGCAGAUAUCGGGAGGAACACCGGUGGCGAAGGCGGGUCUCUGGGCAGUUACCGACGCUGAGGAGCGAAAGCAUGGGGAGCGAACAGG